rnacentral:tRNA from 1 species
CGUUUCAUAGCUCAGUUGGUUAGAGCACCACCUUGACAUGGUGGGGGUCGUUGGUUCGAGUCCAAUUGAACGC